AAUGAACGUUGGCGGCGUGGAUUAGGCAUGCAAGUCGAGCGAGAAGCUCUAAAUUGAAACUUCGGUCGAGUUUUUUAGAGUGGACAGCGGCGAAAGGGAGAGUAACGAGUAGAUUACGUACCCAGGGGUUCGGGAUAGCUGCGGGAAACUGCAGGUAAUACCGAAUAAUGUCUCCGGACCAAAAAUUUAUUGCCCUUGGAGCGGUCUGCUUACUAUUAGGUUGUUGGUGGGGUAAAAGCCUACCAAGCCGAAGAUGGUUAGCGGGUGUGAGAGCAUGGCCCGUCUCACUGGGACUGAGACACUGCCCAGACACCUACGGGUGGCUGCAGUCGAGAAUCUUCCGCAAUGGGCGAAAGCCUGACGGAGCGACGCCGCGUGCGGGACGAAGGCCUUCGGGUUGUAAACCGCUGUCGUAGGGGAGGAAAUUUUGACCGAUCCUAGGAGGAAGCGCAGGCUAAGUUCGUG
rnacentral:rRNA from 1 species